rnacentral:rRNA from 1 species
CUAACUGGAGGACCGAACCGACUAAUGUUGAAAAAUUAGCGGAUGACCUGUGGCUGGGGGUGAAAGGCCAAUCAAACCGGGAGAUAGCUGGUUCUCCCCGAAAGCUAUUUAGGUAGCGCCUCGUGAAUUCAUCUCCGGGGGUAGAGCACUGUUUCGGCUAGGGGGCCAUCCCGGCUUACCAACCCGAUGCAAACUGCGAAUACCGGAGAAUGUUAUCACGGGAGACACACGGCGGGUGCUAACGUCCGUCGUGAAGAGGGAAACAACCCAGACCGCCAGCUAAGGUCCCAAAGUCAUGGUUAAGUGGGAAACGAUGUGGGAAGGCCCAGACAGCCAGGAUGUUGGCUUAGAAGCAGCCAUCAUUUAAAGAAAGCGUAAUAGCUCACUGGUCGAGUCGGCCUGCGCGGAAGAUGUAACGGGGCUAAACCAU